GAGUCAGCCCCUUCCCCGCUUCCCCGCCCACAUAGUCACCUGAGUGCGGCCCCCUGGGCCUGGCAGAGGCGAUGGGGCAAGCACAGAGAGGCCGGGAGGAAAAGCGGGGCAAGUGUGUGUGAGGGGUCCUGGCCAGUCUGCGUCCUGCUAGAUCUUGCUGAGGGCAGGCGGGCCGCAGAGUGAGACGGCGUGCGCCAAUGGGUAGGGAGGAGAACAGCCGAAGGGUCUGAUCCUGCAAGAGGCUGAAAUUAAUGAGACUAGAGGGGACCUGUGAGGAUUGGCUCUGGCAAGAUCUGAUCUUGCCAUUGGAUCUGCUCUGAAACAUGGAUCCCAAAGCGCUGCACCUUGCAGCAUUCCUCCCCCUUCCACAUCUUGUUGAAGAUUGGGUACCUUAAUUAGGACUAAUUCCAAAGAGAUUGUGGGUUUCAGUAUCCAGUACACUGUACAGUGUGCCUGCUCCAGAACAGCAGAGUGGAAUGAAGCAUCAUCUAAAAAACUCACUGCACUACUGGGAGCAAGCCUGAUCAAAUCAGAUUUCAGCUAUGGUUAUACACGAAAAUCAAUUGUCUGUAUCCUCUUAAAAAACCCCACAAGCAUCCCAAGUCUCUGUGUAUUAUUAUAAAUAUUAAUAGAUACAUUCUAUCUAAUGUACUUUACUGACCCCAUUGCUAUAGCAUCUGACCACCUCACAGUCCUUAAUGUAUUUAUCCUCACAACAUCCCUGUGGGGCAGGGCAACGCUAUUAUCUCCAUUGUACAGCUGAGAAAUUGAGAUACAGAGAGAGUCAAGUGACUUGACUGGGUCACUCAGGAAGCCUGGAACAGAGCAAAGAAUUGAACCUGGUUCUCCCAAGUCCCAGGCUAGUGUCUAACCACUGGACCUACUAUGUGUCUAUUACUUUGGCAGAUUUAUAUUUUGCCACUCUGAAAACUAAACAGUACAGAAAUGUUAGGGCAGCAAUAUCUUAGCCUACAGGCAACACCCACUUCACAACAGAUAGGUUCUCCAUCCCCAAACAGAUUAGUGCUUGUAAGAGAGAGAACGGCUACAGAGCACAUGCUACCAGGAAACAUUAUACUGUAUUUGUAGGCCUGUGGUAAUCUUGAGAUUUGGGGACCAUACAGAAGCAGCACUAUAAGUGAAGACAUUACAUAGUACUUAUACAUGUGGGUCAGCUGAAAACAGGCACUUGGACAAAUAAAAGCAGAUAGUAUUGUAAUCAGGAUGGUACUCAGAUGAUUUUCUCCAUGUGUAUGUCAGUAGAAGGGAGCAGGAUAUAUUUCCAUGGUUUUCAGGCAUGACACCUUUGCAGUAUAAGGAGAAUU